rnacentral:rRNA from 1 species
GACGAACGCUGGCGGCGUGCCUAAUACAUGCAAGUAGAACGCUGAAGAGAGGAGCUUACUCUUCUUGGAUGAGUUGCGAACGGGUGAGUAACGCGUAGGUAACCUGCCUUGUAGCGGGGGAUAACUAUUGGAAACGAUAGCUAAUACCGCAUAACAAUGGAUGACACAUGUCAUUUAUUUGAAAGGGGCAAUUGCUCCACUACAAGAUGGACCUGCGUUGUAUAGCUAGUAGGUGAGGUAAUGGCUCACCUAGGCGACGAUACAUAGCCGACCUGAGAGGGUGAUCGGCCACACUGGGACUGAGACACGGCCCAGACUCCUACGGGAGGCAGCAGUAGGGAAUCUUCGGCAAUGGGGGCAACCCUGACCGAGCAACGCCGCGUGAGUGAAGAAGGUUUUCGGAUCGUAAAGCUCUGUUGUAAGUCAAGAACGGGUGUGAGAGUGGAAAGUUCACACUGUGACGGUAGCUUACCAGAAAGGGACGGCUAACUACGUG